rnacentral:rRNA from 1 species
UCAAGCUACUAAGAGCUGAUGGUGGAUGCCUUGGCGUUCGGAGCCGAUGAAGGACGUGGCAGGCUGCGAUAAGCCCCGGUGAGUUGUCAAGCAAGCGUUGACCCGGGGAUGUCCGAAUUGGAAAACCAGACUGGGGUUAUGCCCAGUCACUCCGGUCUGAACACAUAGGACCGGUAGAGGGAACCGGGGGAAUUGAAACAUCUCAGUACCCCGAGGAAAAGAAAGCAACAGCGAUGCCCUGAGUAGCGGCGAGCGAAACGGGUGGAGCCCAAACCGACAUGGUGUCAAAGGUCGAUGCCGUUGCCAUGUCGGGGUUGUGGGACCCUUCAGACGGUACAUCGAAGCCGUCAUGGAGUUACAAAACUUGCAGGUAGGCGAAUCCGCUGGGAAGCGGAGCCACAGGAGGUAACAGCCCCGUAGCUGAAACCUGUCAAGUCUCCAGAGGGUGUUCCCAAGUAGCACGGGACCCGUGAAAUCCCGUGUGAAUCUGCGAGGACCACCUCGUAAGGCUAAACACUUCCGAACGACCGAUAGCGGACUAGUACCGUGAGGGAAAGGUGAAAAGCACCCCGGUGAGGGGAGUGAAAUAGUACCUGAAACCAUUAGCUUACAAGCAGUCGGAGGGAUCACUUGUGGUCCUGACGGCCUGCCUUUUGAAGAAUGAGCCGACGAGUUAUUGAUGUGUGGCGAGGUUAAGUCGAGUGACGGAGCCGCAGCGAAAGCGAGUCUUAAUAGGGCGUCUAGUCGCAUGUCAUAGACCCGAAGCCGGGUGAUCUAUCCAUGGACAGGGUGAAGCGAGGGUAAGACCUCGUGGAGGCCCGAACCCACCUAGGUUGAAAACUGGGGGGAUGAUCUGUGGAUAGGGGUGAAAGGCCAAUCAAACCCGGCGAUAGCUGGUUCUCCCCGAAAUAGCUUUAGGGCUAGCGUCGUAUGUUCCGCAUUGGGGGUAGAGCACUGAUUGGGUUAGGGGGCCAAAAAGCUUACCGACCCCAGUUAAACUCCGAAUCCCAAUGCGCCAAGUACGGCAGUCAGACCAUGGGGGAUAAGCUUCAUGGUCGAAAGGGAAACAGCCCAGAUCGUCAGCUAAGGUCCCAAAGUCAGAACUAAGUGGGGAACGAUGUGGAGUUGCCCAAACAGCCAGGAGGUUGGCUUAGAAGCAGCCAUUCCUUUAAAGAGUGCGUAACAGCUCACUGGUCGAGUGAUCCCGCGCGGAUAAUGUAACGGGGCUCAAGUUCUGCACCGAAGCUACGGGUUCUCAUCUGAACCCCGGCCUGAUCCUUCGGGAGAUGGUCCAGGGGAUGAGAGCGGUAGGGGAGCGUCGUGUGGCCGAUGAAGCGGCGGCGGAAGCCAGCCGUGGAGGCCACUCGAGUGAGAAUGUCGGCAUGAGUAGCGAAUGAGGAGUGAGAAUCUCCUCCGCCGGAUGUCCAAGGUUUCCUGGGGAAGGCUCGUCCGCCCAGGGUUAGUCGGGACCUAAGGUGAGGCCGAGAGGCGUAAUCGAUGGAUAACGGGUUGAUAUUCCCGUACCACCACAGGCGCGCCCAGGCUGAAUCCAACUUGCUAAGGAAAGCCCUUCGGGGCCUACCGACCCAGUUGGUAUUAGGCCAGCAAUGGAGUGACGCGGAAGGGUAAGCGGACCCGGGCGAUGGUUGUCCCGGGGUAAGCGUGUAGGACGAGAUCUAGGCAAAUCCGGAUCUCACGAAGUCCGAGGCGCGAAGCCGAGCCGAUACAGGCGAAGCCGCUGAACGCCCAAGCCGCCAAGAAAAGCUUCUAGCGAGCUCCUGUGGUGCCCGUACCCCAAACCAACACAGGUGGACAGGUAGAGAAUACUAAGGCGAGCGAGAUAACUCUGGUUAAGGAAUUCGGCAAAAUGGCUCCGUAACUUCGGGAGAAGGAGCGCCCCGGUAGGGUGUAGGACCUCGCGUCCGAAGCUCGAAGGGGUUGCAGAGACCAGGCCCAAGCGACUGUUUACUAAAAACACAGGAGCGUGCGAAGUCGCAAGACGCAGUAUACGCUCUGACGCCUGCCCGGUGCUGGAAGGUCAAGGGGAUAGGUUAGCUCUUCGGAGCGAAGCUUUGAACUCAAGCCCCAGUAAACGGCGGCGGUAACUAUAACCGUUAAAACCUGGCUAUAUGCUGGAACAUCCGAGUAUCCGACGGUACUCGUUCGGUCCAAAGGUAGAAAUACCGAAGGACAUGAACAGUGAAAAUCCGAUCGGUGCGGACAAUCAGCAGGAAACCGAAGCCACAGAACGACCAAUCGAUCCAUAUCGGAUCGUCAGAGGAUCGCCUCGAGCGAACCGUCUGACGUACCGGAUGCUGGCAACUCAAGCCGGCGGAUGGGCAGACCGAAACGAAUCGAGGGUUGGCGUGGAAGACCAUGCAUCCAGGCAUACGUACCGAUCGCAAGAUCGAUGCCAACACGGAAGCACUGGUCCCUGGACAGAACCGAAAGGUGACGUCCUGUAGGGAUCCUCAGAGACUGUACGCUAGGCGCCGCAAUGAGUAGCGGUGAUGAUACAGUCCGAUCCUCAUGGCGACAUGGGGAGCCCGGCAGAAAUGACCGGGCCCGUUACUUCACGUAAUGAAUUCCACGUGGAGUGCGAAGUAACAAGAAUGCCUAAGGUAGCGAAAUUCCUUGUCGGGUAAGUUCCGACCUGCACGAAUGGCGCAACGACUUGGGCACUGUCUCAACCAGAGACUCGGCGAAAUUGCAGUGUGAGUAAAGAUGCUCACUUCCUGCGACAGGACGGAAAGACCCCGGGACCUUUACUGCAACUUGACAUUGGAGUUCGUUAUCAGAUGUGUAGGAUAGGUGGGAGACCGUGAAGCGGUGGCGCUAGCCAUCGUGGAGUCAACCUUGAAAUACCACCCUUCUCAUAAUGGUCUUCUAACCUCGAUCCAUUAUCUGGAUCAGGGACAGUGUCUGGUGGGCAGUUUCACUGGGGUGGUGGCCUCCUAAAAUGUAACGGAGGCGCCCAAAGGUUCUCUCAGUCUGGUCGGCAAUCAGACGUUGAGUGCAAGGGCAAAAGAGAGCUUAACUGCGAGACCUACAAGUCGAGCAGGUUCGAAAGAAGGGCCUAGUGAUCCCUCGGCGGCAUGUGGGUGCGCCGAGGCCAACGGCUAAAAGGUACCCCGGGGAUAACAGGCUUAUCCUGCCCAAGAGUCCAUAUCGACGGCAGGGCUUGGCACCUCGAUGUCGGCUCGUCUCAUCCUGGGGCUGAAGCAGGUCCCAAGGGUCGGGCUGUUCGCCCGUUAAAGAGGCACGCGAGCUGGGUUUAGAACGUCGUGAGACAGUUCGGUCCCUAUCCGUCGCAGGCGCAGGAGAUUUGAGGAGAGCUGUCCUUAGUACGAGAGGACCGGGAUGGACGCACCUCUAGUGUGCCAGUUGUCUUGCCAAAGGCAUGGCUGGUUUGCCACGUGCGGAACGGAUAAGCGCUGAAAGCAUCUAAGCGCGAAGCCGCCUCCAAGAUCAGAUCUCCCACCGGAUUAACCGGGUAAGGCCCCUGGUAGAUUACCAGGUUGAUAGGCCGGAAGUGGAAGCGCAGUAAUGCGUGAAGCUGACCGGUACUAAUAGGCCGAGGGCUUGACUA